rnacentral:rRNA from 1 species
UACGUAGGGGGCAAGCGUUGUCCGGAUUUACUGGGUGUAAAGGGCGUGCAGCCGGAGAGACAAGUCAGAUGUGAAAUCCACGGGCUCAACCCGUGAACUGCAUUUGAAACUGUUUCCCUUGAGUGUCGGAGAGGUAAUCGGAAUUCCUUGUGUAGCGGUGAAAUGCGUAGAUAUAAGGAAGAACACCAGUGGCGAAGGCGGAUUACUGGACGAUAACUGACGGUGAGGCGCGAAAGCGUGGGGAGCAAACAGG